UACGAAGGGGGCUAGCGUUGUUCGGAAUCACUGGGCGUAAAGGGCGCGUAGGCGGCUUUGCAAGUGACGGGUGAAAUCCCUCGGCUUAACCGAGGAACUGCCUGUCAGACUGCAUGGCUUGAGACCGGGAGAGGUGAGUGGAAUUCCCAGUGUAGCGGUGAAAUGCGUAGAUAUUGGGAGGAACACCAGUGGCGAAGGCGGCUCACUGGACCGGUACUGACGCUGAUGCGCGAAAGCGUGGGGAGCAAACAGG
rnacentral:rRNA from 1 species